UUUACGGAGAGUUUGAUCCUGGCUCAGGACGAACGCUGGCGGCGUGCUUAACACAUGCAAGUCGAACGAUGAACACCGGAGCUUGCUCUGGUGGGAUUAGUGGCGAACGGGUGAGUAACACGUGAGCAAUCUGCCCCCGACUCUGGGAUAAGCGUUGGAAACGACGUCUAAUACCGGAUACGACACCUCCUGGCAUCAGGUGGGUGUGGAAAGAAUUUCGGUUGGGGAUGAGCUCGCGGCCUAUCAGCUUGUUGGUGAGGUAAUGGCUCACCAAGG
rnacentral:rRNA from 1 species